rnacentral:rRNA from 1 species
AUUGAACGCUAGCGGCAUGCCUAACACAUGCAAGUCGAGCGAGCGGCGGAAGGGUGAGUAAUGUAUGGGGAUCUGCCCGAUAGAGGGGGAUAACUACUGGAAACGGUGGCUAAUACCGCAUACUAUUGGAUGAACCCAUAUGGGAUUAGCUAGUAUGUGGGGUAAAGGCUCACCUAGGCGACGAUCUCUAGCUGGUCUGAGAGGAUGAUCAGCCAAACGGGGACUGAGACACGGCCCAGAUUCCUACGGGAGGCAGCAGUGGGGAAUAUUGGACAAUGGGCGAAAGUCUGAUGCAGCCAUGCCGCGUGUAUGAAGAAGGCCUUAGGGUUGUAAAGUACUUGCAUCGGGGAGGCGUUACCCGCAGAAGAAGCACCGGCUAACUCCGUGCCAGCAGCCGCGGUAAUUC